UACGAAGGGGGCUAGCGUUGCUCGGAAUCACUGGGCGUAAAGGGUGCGUAGGCGGGUUUUUAAGUCAGGGGUGAAAUCCUGGAGCUCAACUCCAGAACUGCCUUUGAUACUGUAGAUCUUGAGUCCGGGAGAGGUGAGUGGAACUGCGAGUGUAGAGGUGAAAUUCGUAGAUAUUCGCAAGAACACCAGUGGCGAAGGCGGCUCACUGGCCCGGUACUGACGCUGAGGCACGAAAGCGUGGGGAGCAAACAGG
rnacentral:rRNA from 1 species